GGGCUUGUGGUUUAGUGGUAUAAUACUCCCUUAGCAUCAAGAAAGCACGUUGCAAGAUGUGCUUCACGAAGCAUCCGCACCGGAAUUGGGAGUGGUCCGGGGUUCGAUUCCCCGCGAGUCCA